rnacentral:rRNA from 1 species
GAUCAUGGCUCAGGAUGAACGCUAGCUACAGGCUUAACACAUGCAAGUCGAGGGGCAGCAUGACCUAGCAAUAGGUUGAUGGCGACCGGCGCACGGGUGAGUAACACGUAUCCAACCUACCGGUUAUUCCGGGAUAGCCUUUCGAAAGAAAGAUUAAUACCGGAUAGUAUAACGAGAAGGCAUCUUUUUGUUAUUAAAGAAUUUCGAUAACCGAUGGGGAUGCGUUCCAUUAGUUUGUGGGCGGGUACGGACCCGACCAACG